CCGAAUGAAGAGAGCCUGAUAUCUUCUUCGUCAAAGUCCAAGAAUAGUAUUUAUUUUCAUCAUCGAGCUCCUGAUAUACACCAACAAUGGAGUUUUGGGAUGUCGAGUGAUACGAAUCGUCAUGUAUAAUAUACAUGAAGGUUUGAUUGCAUCGUUUCACGUUCUUCUCCUCUUACACGUUACUGAAUUCAUUGAGUUAUAGCAUUUAACCAGCUUCUUAACUCCAUGGACUUAUCUCUCUUCUAGGCGUUGGAUCUCAAUCUAUAAAAAGGUAAACCUGAACAUCAUUCUCUCAAAUUGUGAUAACACUAAAAGCUUAUUUUCAGUUUAAUGCUUCUUAUUCUCAUCAUUCCCAAAGUUCAUCGAUAUAAUUAAGAUGCCCAUUGAAGAUCCUUCAAUCAAUCCUCCCAGUACGGCUCCCUUUGGAACUUGGAAGGUCCGAAUGUUAAGAGGAGUUGGGCUCACCAAUGUUGGACAAGACGACAAUGAAGAAGAAGUGUUUCCACUACCACACACCUCACCAGAUCCAACGGCUUGAAUCGUAUUCUCUCUUUUUCUCUACUCAAUUGUUUUCUCUAGCUCUAUCUUUUUGUUCUCUUAUGGUUUUGUUCGCAGAGCUUUCAAUGAAUGACAACAUCCAAACAGAGGAUGCAUUUUAGCAGAGAAUUGGGUUUAGCUCCAAGACAGAUAAGUUUUGGUUUCAGAACCGAAGAACACAGAAAAAAGGCACAACACUAUAGAGUUCAUAAUUGUGCAUUCAAGAAGCUUUCAAACACCAUAUUCCCCACCUAUGGUGAUGCUCCUGUUCAUGAAGACUCUUACUUUGAUGAACAGAAGCUUCGAAUAAAAAAUGCUUAGAGAAAAGCUCGAGAGGGUUUCAGCAUUGCAGCUAAAUUCAUGGGGAGGCCACUUUCUCAUCCCCCACCACUACUAAACCAGAUGCAGAUUUCUCCAUUAGAGUUACUCCACAGUGUUCCUUUGCUUGAUUUUGAUCUUCUCCAAGGAAGUUGUUCUUCAAUGGCUGUCUCAAGUUUACUGUCUUUACCAAACGUGGUUAUCUCAGACAUGGAUAAGUUUCUGAUGACCAACAUUGCUGUGAGUCUGUGCCCGCUAUGGAAGAAUUGCUUAGGCUUACACAAAAACAUAUGAGCCUAUGUGGAUCAAAACAGAUGGAUGCCUAGACGUUGUCAGUCUAAAAAGCUAUGAGAAUGCAUUCCCAAGAUUAAGUAGUCAUGGAGGAAAGAACCACAACCUUUGAGUGGAAGCAACCAGAUCUCCUAGCAUUUCUUCACUAAUGCAGUGACAGUGUGACACUUGUGUAGAUGCUCAUGGACUCUUUUUCAGGCCAAAGCUGCAGAGCCUUUUCCUUCAGUCGUUGCAGCAUCUAAAACUCUUGCAGUGGUUUCAUCUGGAUUGCGUGGAGAUCACGGAGAUUCCUUACAUUUUGACACAAUAAUGCUACAUAAAUCUAUGAACAUAAAAUAUACUUUUUUUUGGGCAACGAACAUAAAAUAUACUCCGACUCUUGCUUUUCA